GUCGAACGUGAAAGCACUUCGGUGUGAGUAGAGUGGCGGACGGGUGAGUAACGCGUGGGAAUCUGCCCAGUAGUGGGGGACAACUACCGGAAACGGUAGCUAAUACCGCAUACGCCCUAUGGGGGAAAGGCUUCGGCCGCUAUUGGAUGAGCCCGCGUCAGAUUAGCUAGUUGGUAGGGUAAAGGCCUACCAAGGCAACGAUCUGCAGCUGGUCUGAGAGGACGAACAGCCACACUGGGACUGAGACACGGCCCAGACUCCUACGGGAGGCAGCAGUGGGGAAUAUUGGACAAUGGGCGAAAGCCUGAUCCAGCAAUGCCGCGUGUGUGAAGAAGGCCUGCGGGUUGUAAAGCACUUUCAGUUGGGAAGAUGAUGACGUUACCAACAGAAGAAGCACCGGCUAAAUCCGUGCCAGCAGCCGCGGUAAUACGGAUGGUGCGAGCGUUAAUCGGAAUUACUGGGCGUAAAGCGCGCGUAGGCGGCUAAGUCAGUCAGAAGUGAAAGCCCCGGGCUCAACCUGGGAAUUGCUUUUGAUACUGCUUGGCUAGAGUUUGGUAGAGGAUAGUGGAAUUCCAGGUGUAGCGGUGAAAUGCGUAGAUAUCUGGAGGAACAUCAGUGGCGAAGGUGACUGUCUGGACCAAAACUGACGCUGAGGUGCGAAAGCGUGGGUAGCAAACAGGAUUAGAUACCCUGGUAGA
rnacentral:rRNA from 1 species